GAUGAACGCUGGCGGCGUGCCUAAUACAUGCAAAUCGAGCGAACGGACGAGAAGCUUGCUCCUCUGAUGUUAGCGGCGGACGGGUGAGUAACACGUGGAUAACCUACCUAUAAGACUGGGAUAACUUCGGGAAACCGGAGCUAAUACCGGAUAAUAUUUUGAACCGCAUGGUUCAAAAGUGAAAGACGGUCUUGCUGUCACUUUUAGAUGGAUCCGCGCUGCAUUAGCUAGUUGGUAAGGUAACGGCUUACCAAGGCAACGAUGCAUAGCCGACCUGAGAGGGUGAUCGGCCACACUGGAACUGAGACACGGUCCAGACUCCUACGGGAGGCAGCAGUAGGGAAUCUUCCGCAAUGGGCGAAAGCCUGACGGAGCAACGCCGCGUGAGUGAUGAAGGUCUUCGGAUCGUAAAACUCUGUUAUUAGGGAAGAACAUAUGUGUAAGUAACUGUGCACAUCUUGACGGUACCUAAUCAGAAAGCCACGGCUAACUACGUG
rnacentral:rRNA from 1 species